GAUGAACGCUAGCGGCAGGCCUACACAUGCAAGUCGAGGGGCAGCACAGAAACAGCAAUGUUUUGGUGGCGACCGGCGGACGGGUGCGUAACGCGUAUGCAACCUACCUUUAACAGGGGGAUAACGGAGAGAAAUUUCCACUAAUACCCCAUAACAUCGAUCAAGGCAUCUUGAUUGGUUGAAAACUCCGGUGGUUAAAGAUGGGCAUGCGUUGUAUUAGGUAGUUGGUGAGGUAAUGGCUCACCAAGCCUACGAUACAUAGGGGGACUGAGAGGUUGGCCCCCCACACUGGUACUGAGACACGGACCAGACUCCUACGGGAGGCAGCAGUGAGGAAUAUUGGUCAAUGGGGGCAACCCUGAACCAGCCAUGCCGCGUGCAGGAAGACGGCUCCAUUAGUUGUAAACUGUUUUUAAACAGGGAUAAAGCACAGUAUGUAUACUGUGUUGAAGGUACUGUAAGAAUAAGGAUCGGCUAACUCCGUGCCAGCCGCCGCCGUAA
rnacentral:rRNA from 1 species